AACGAACGCUGGCGGCAGGCUUAAUACAUGCAAGUCGAGCGGUAAGGUCUCUUCGGAGGCCCUAGAGCGGCGAACGGGUGAGUAAUGGGUGGAUAACCUACCCUUUGGUGGGGGAUAACACUGCGAAAGCGGUGCUAAUACCGCAUGUUAUUGCCUUUCCCUCGGGAAAGGUAAAGAAAGACGCCCUUAAAGCGUCGCCAAAGGACGGGUCCGCCUCCCAUUAGCUAGUUGGUAAGGUAAUGGCUUACCAAGGCAACGAUGGGUAGCCGAGCUGAGAGGUUGGUCGGCCACACUGGAACUGAGACACGGUCCAGACACCUACGGGUGGCAGCAGUAGGGAAUAUUGGACAAUGGGCGAAAGCCUGAUCCAGCCAUGCCGCGUGAGGGAUGAAGCCCUUCGGGGUGUAAACCUCUUUCUGGGGGAUGAAAGAAGCAAGUAGGAAAUGACUUGCUUUUGACAGUACCCCAGGAAUAAGGAACGGCUAACUCCGUG
rnacentral:rRNA from 1 species